rnacentral:rRNA from 1 species
CAAGUCGAACGGGUUUAGUUCGGUAGCAAUACUGGAUUGAGCCAGUGGCGAACGGGUGCGUAACACGUGAGUCAUCUGCCUGAAAGUGGGGGAUAGCUCGCCGAAAGGCGAAUUAAUACCGCAUGUGCCCCGAAGCAAUUCGGGGUAAAGCCGGGGUAACCUGGCGCUUUUAGAGGAACUCGCGGCCUAUCAGCUUGUUGGUAAGGUAACGGCUUACCAAGGCUUCGACGGGUAGCUGGUCUGAGAGGACGACCAGCCACACUGGAACUGAGACACGGUCCAGACACCUACGGGUGGCAGCAGUCGAGAAUUUUUCUCAAUGGGGGAAACCCUGAAGGAGCGACGCCGCGUGGAGGAUGAAUGCUUUCGGGUUGUAAACUCCUGUCAUUUGGGAACAAAGCCUUACGUUAACUGCGUGAGGUUUGAUAGUACCAGAAGAGGAAGAGACGGCUAACUCUGUGCCAGCAGCCGCGGUAAUACAGAGGUCUCAAGCGUUGUUCGGAUUCAUUGGGCGUAAAGGGCGCGUAGGCUGCGGGGCAAGUCGGGUGUGAAAUCUCAGAGCUCAACUCUGAAACUGCACUCGAUACUGCUUUGCUUGAGGACUGGAGAGGAGAUUGGAAUUCACGGUGUAGCAGUGAAAUGCGUAGAUAUCGUGAGGAAGACCAGUGGCGAAGGCGGAUCUCUGGACAGUUCCUGACGCUGAGGCGCGAAGGCCAGGGGAGCAAACGGGAUUAGAUACCCCGGUAGUCCUGGCAGUAAACGGUGCACGUUUGGUGUGCGCGGAUUCGACCCCGUGCGUGCCGGAGCUAACGCGUUAAACGUGCCGCCUGAGGAGUACGGUCGCAAGAUUAAACU